rnacentral:rRNA from 1 species
CAGCCGCCGCGGUAAUACGUAGGUCCCGAGCGUUGUCCGGAUUUAUUGGGCGUAAAGGGAGCGCAGGCGGUUUAGUAAGUCUGAAGUUAAAGGCAUUGGCUCAACCAAUGUAUGCUUUGGAAACUGUUAGACUUGAGUGCAGAAGGGGAGAGUGGAAUUCCAUGUGUAGCGGUGAAAUUUGUAGAUAUUGGGAAGAACACCAGUGGCGAAGGCGGCUCACUGGACCGACACUGACACUGAGGCGCGAAAGCGUGGGGAGCAAACAGGAUUAGAUACCCCUGUAGUCCCUGUCUCUUAUACC